UGAGGAAUAUUGGUCAAUGGACGUAAGUCUGAACCAGCCAAGUAGCGUGCAGGAUGACGGCCCUAUGGGUUGUAAACUGCUUUUAUGCGGGGAUAAAGUGAGGGAUGCAUCCCUUUUUGUAGGUACCGCAUGAUAAGGACCGGCUAAUUCCGUGCCAGCAGCCGCGGUAAUACGGAAGGUCCGGGCGUUAUCCGGAUUUAUUGGGUUUAAAGGGAGCGUAGGCCGUCGUUUAAGCGUGUUGUGAAAUGCCGCGGCUCAACCGUGGCACUGCAGCGCGAACUGGAUGACUUGAGUGUAUUCGAUGUCAGCGGAAUUUGUGGUGUAGCGGUGAAAUGCUUAGAUAUCACGAAGAACUCCGAUUGCGAAGGCAGCUGACAAGGCUACAACUGACGCUAAAGCUCGAAAGUGCG
rnacentral:rRNA from 1 species